CCUACGGGAGGCAGCAGUGAGGAAUAUUGGUCAAUGGGCGCUAGCCUGAACCAGCCAAGUAGCGUGAAGGAUGACUGCCCUAUGGGUUGUAAACUUCUUUUAUAUGGGAAUAAAGUGCAGUAUGUAUACUGCUUUGCAUGUACCUUAUGAAUAAGGAUCGGCUAACUCCGUGCCAGCAGCCGCGGUAAUACGGAGGAUCCGAGCGUUAUCCGGAUUUAUUAGGUUUAAAGGGAGCGUAGGCGGGUUGUUAAGUCAGUUGUGAAAGUUUGCGGCUCAAACGUAAAAUUUCAGUUGAUACUGGCAUCCCUGGGGACCGUAGAGGUAGGGGGAAUUCGUGGUGGAGCGGUGAAAUGCUUAGA
rnacentral:rRNA from 1 species